rnacentral:lncRNA from 1 species
ACUCCAUCUCACGUCAGUCAUGAGAGGUUGUUCAUGUAGACGAUGUGGACCUUCAUCUUCAUGAUUUCAUCAUUACGUUGGAAAAAGAUAUGGCGACCACGUUACGAGGUGUCGGGUAACGACUAACGAGAGGCGAUUUACCGGUUUACAAUUAAUGCUGUAUCAAAACAGCAGUACAAAGCCCCGUGAAAUGUGGAUUGUGGUCGGGGAGAAGAACAGUUUUCCACAGUUAAACUGUAAUAUUUGGAUUGCACAGUCUGGAAUAAAUUGUUGGUGGUGGUGAUUGUUGUGAAAAAACUAUUGCCGUUGAGUACUGUAAGAUGUGGUACUACACAUCGACAAGCUGUGCUGCUCAUCAGUUUGAACAGUUGAUUGCAGUUUUUCCACUACUGAAUUUGAAAAGGCCCUUUGUCAAGAGAAAAAUCCAAUCUAAAACAAGAAAUUGAGACAGGCACCAGCCAAUCCUUUCUGGAAUUUUGCUAUGGACGUCUUUCAAAUGAUCGUCAAUGUUAAGAAAGGAGAAGAAUCUGAACCCAAAGUAAAGCUUGAAGAACCAUCUACUACCGAUAUACCAAUAACCAACGGAACUUAUUCCAUGCACUCCAAGACGGCAUUAUUAUGGCGUGCUCUUGCAGACUCAUGACAAUGACUUACGACGGUUCUGGUGGAGUCAUCAAGGAGGAAAGCAGUGGUAACCCUCACCAAAUCAAAAUCCUUCACCAACCGACAUCAUUUUCAAGUUUGGCAUGAGAGGCCGACAUAUGUUUGCGGUCUGUAAGAGCAUGGCGUCAGAGAAGAGACAUCGCAAAUGUUACUUUUUCAAGUUCACUUUAGCAAACCUUUAUUACUUCCAUAUCCCAGACCCAGAGCAAUGGCCCAAAAUACCAGAUCUAGAAACCCAAAGUUGAUGAAAUUUGUCUCUAGGAUUAAUUGAGUUCUACAGUAUCACAACGAAAAGCAUCUAGCACGAUGUCGUUUAAGACUUCCCAUUGGCCAGACCUCUGUUCAGAAUGUCUCGGAUUUCCGCGCAAACGACAUCAAAUCGUUGAGUGAAUUAUCUUUGAAAGUUUGAACCCUCUGUGCAUGUCUCGCUGAGAAGAAAUGGUGACCAAAGCCGGCAACCUAGGCAUAGACAGUCUAAUCGGACAAGGAAUUCACCCCAUCUCGUCCACGAUUGCGUAAACGCAAGUUACUAUUAGCAUUACAACAAGACGAACGAAAAAGCUCCUGCUAAUACGACCACCUCAUCUUUCUCGACUUGAGGGCCACUAGAUACGUUGGGACUGGAGAACACCACUCCUGCAACACCACUCCUGCAACAAACUAAUGUUGUUCAACUCGAUUGGUGUUUACGCAGCCGGAACAACUGGAAUUCCCAUGGGUCGGCGUAUUCAUCACCAUUCAUUCACCACCAUAAAUGGUAAAACAUAUUUUAGGUUGAUCGCGCAAUAAUAAGUUCAGCUUCGGGACUCCUCCCUAGCUGUACUAAUUGGAGUAAUUGCUCUCCUUGCCUCCGCAACUCCAAUCAAUGUCUUCUGGAGAAUACCGUAUCGCUUCACUGAGAUGUAUAUACUUUGACAUUCCAAUGGCAAACUUGAAGGGAAAUGUGACGAUUCGAACGUUGUGAUUCGUUCACAGGACAAAGAAAUAUUAACGUUACCUCCGCAGUUUGAAGAAUUUUGAUCCCAAUUCUCAGCGGGUAGACUGGCGGUGGUUUGGUCAACUAAACGGCGGCUAAGCACGUCCGGAUGAUAAUCAGAUGUUGCUGGAUGAAUGAGACGCUGUGACCAUCUCCGAAUUCGUUAGGUUGUGUUCAGGGUUAACAGCCAGGUGAAAUCUCUUCUUCAUUACUGUCCAACACAACAUAUGGUUUUUGGCGGUUUUUGGUUGCGGCUAGCCGGUGAAAGGUGUCGUCAAAAGUUCAGCUGUUGCAUGGAGUCUGUGAUACUGGUAUUAUCCUGGAGUGGGUUGGUGUUCUGACAAAUAUUGUUCUGCUUGUUUGUGGUUAGUGUAUUGUUUGAUGUAGUCUAUGAUGUAGACUAUGAUGUAGACACGUGCAUAUCUGGGCUUCCUUCUGUGGCCCCGUUUACUUAACUAACCAUUAACCAACGCCAGCCGGUUGUCACUCACCUGCUGUGAAACUAGGAGAAGGGCUCUGGUGAAACGGGGACUAGGAUAGCGCGUGAUCUGAUGAAAACUUUUGUAGAGUUAUGAGUGUAACCCGGAAGUCUACUAUAUCUAAUUGCUCCCUAGUAAAACUGGCCUCGCACUCUUCUUCCUUGUUCAGGUAAUCUCCCUGAGCACAAUUAAACAAGGCAUAGUCUCCCCUGUCUUGAUUGACUAAAUUGGGCAAGGAAAUUUCAUAUUGAUAAAAUUAAUGCAAUGAUGGUAAAAUAUAAAUGUGUACGAUGAGGGAUGAUAAACAUAUGUACAAAAAAAUGUCAAUAAGAUUGUAAACAGUUAUUUUUCUUUACAGUGCUGUGUAGUGUAUAAAUAUCGAAAUAUCCCAACACAUGAUCUGUUGCUUUCUUCA